CGGGUCUUCUUACCCUCAAUCUCAACAAGACUCUGUCCAAUCUCCCAACCCACUCAAAUGAAUUAUAUAUAAAACCUAAUUUUUUUAGAGUUCAAAGACUAAUCCUAUGUUGUAUCUUCUUGAGCGUCGUCCUUUUUACGACCUUCAUACAACUCCUUAUUCAGCAAUUGGAUAGAUUCAAGGAACCAUUAGAGCAGAUUUAUAUGCUUUACUCAGUAAUCAAAAGGAUUGAGAUUUUUGUGUUUUUCAACAUUGAAAGAUUCAGAAGAAUAUGAGGAUAUGAACUAGAGAGGGAGAAAAUCUACACCGAUGAUGGAGUUUGGUAUGGUAGCAAUCCCUUGUAAGAUCUCUUGGUUAUUUAUAUGCUCUCAUUUUCAGUUUGUCAGUGUUACUUUAUACUUUUGUUGGAAUAUUGGGGAUGACUUCACUUAAAACUUGCAUCCAAUAUUUGUUAAUUGGUGGAACUUUCUUCAUUUAGAUGAAAUUAUUUGUUGAGUUUCCCAGCAAAAUUCUAAUUUUUUAUUUUCAAUGUAUGUAGGCAAUUUGGACUUUUUGGUUAUGCAAAUGUGUAUGCUCAAUUGUGAUUGAAUAACUAGAAGUUUAGGUUUAUGCUUGGCAAAUGAUUAACAAUAAUUUUUGGCAAAUAACAAUAAGUUGAGCAUGUUUGUGUGUAUGCAUAGAAGUGUAUGUCUAAUUAAUCACCUCUCAUAGUUAACUGAUUUUUGGAUAGGAACUUCUUCAAGAACUUUCUUUAAAGGAACUGAGAUGUGCAAAGUAAAACCUUCACACUUGAAUAAUGAAUAUUCUAUAAUUCAUAAGAAAAUACUCAAUAGAAAUUUCUUUCUAUUUAGUUAAUUGCAGAGAGAAAUGGCUCAAACACAAACAACCGUUAUUAAUUCUCGCAACGAGCGUAACUAAAUAUUUAUCUAUUUCAACUUUGUGUUGGAUCCAUGAGGUGUAUUGUAUUAGUAUUUCAACUUUUGUUAACUUUAUUUCUGGAAUUAUGCAGUUCUAAUUGACACAGAAUAUGAUCCAUUAGUCUCUAAAGAAGAGAAGACAACUAUGGUAUUAAGUUCUUAGUUUAUACAAACUUAUAAAACUUUUCAUCUACUUGUUGGUCGGUAGCUAGGUAGGAAAAGUGACUGUUUUUUUUUAUGUUUCUUAGAAACAUCAAAUCUUUUGUUCUAACCUUGAGUGGGAAAGGAUUUUGGUUUUAAUGGUUGUGUGGGUUUUUUAAAACUCAUUUUGUUUUUCUGAAAUCUACUUGGAAAAUAAAUAUACUUUUGGUUUUAGGAAUAUCACUGUAUUUUCAAAGUCAGAUCAAACAAGGAGUUUUUGAGAUGGUAAGUUAAGAUAUAACUGAAAUCAUUUAAAACUCAUUUAAAAGUCAGAUCAAACAAGGAGUUUUUGAGAUGGUAAGUUAAGAUAUAACUGAAAUCAUUUAAAACUCAUUUAAAAUGAUACUGUAGUUGUUUUUAUAUGAUAUUAUUAAGUAUAAAUUAUUUGCAACUUAGCUAGCUAGAUGAGACAUAUGUUUAUUUUACGAAGGUUGUUGGAUUCCAUAUACUUUAGUAUGGCUUGGUGUAAUUUAAGUUUUUUUUUAAAAUUUUGUAAUUUAAAUGUGUUGAUGAGCUGCCUUGGCGGAGUUUUGUUUUAUUAAAAAUUAAAAGAUGUUAUUUAGUAUUCUGGACUGGGCCGACACUUGGUCCAAACAUAGUGCAAGGCCCAAAUCCAAUCUGACAAAGGGAAAGACUCCAUUGAGCUACCGCUCACAUAGGUAUGCACCUGCCCGACUAUCGAGCAGGGCCUACUCUUGGCCAAGCCUAGAGUGCCCACCAACCUCAUGAACAGGUCUGUGACCCGAGCAAGACCCCUUUCAAGGGCGCGGGCAGGCGCGUGGCUCGAACACCUUCACUUGCACCUGUUCUUCGAGGACCCUCCUCCUCGUAGGGUUACUUCACCUUCAACCCUCUGAAUCAUACGGAGUCUACGCGCUUCCGAUAAGACUGUGUCUCCCCUGAUAUUUCGGAGCGGUUAACCCAAGAUGGAGACCGCGUGUUGGUCUCCAUUACACACGUAGAUCCUGACAGUCUCCAUCUUGGGCUUGAACUUCCAAUCCAACAUGGAGAUCUUGGCCCAGCGCUGGGGGAUAUAAAUACCCUCUUUCACUUGAGGGUCAGGUAUUCAUUCACUCCCACUUAUUCUUUGUACUUGCACUCCUUAGCUCUCUUUUUUACUUUGGCAUCAGAGUACCUUGCAGGUACACUCCCCUAUUCACUUAAAGUCCAACGGUUGAAGGUCAUUGACAAUCCAGUCUGAUCAGGAUUAUAAAGAACAAAACAGGUACAAGCAAGAUGUUAGAAGGAAUGACAUGACAUCAACUCAUGACAUCGCGCCUGCAGAACUGGAAGGAAGAUUCAGUUUGUACUUAACAGAUACAGAAUAUUCUAUGUGAAUAUUAUGUAAUCUUAUGUGGCGCACAUUUACAGGUCAAAAGAAUGAUUGAAGAAUCAGAUCAGAAGAUUGAAGAUUCAGAAGAAUCAGAUCAGAAGAUUGGAUUCAACAGUUUCUAAUUUAGGAAACUCAGGAUUAAAAGACCUAAUUUGUAGCAGAAUAUUUUCUGCAUAUUUGUAACAGAUAGAGUGCUGCGAUUUGUAAGUCCAAGUCCAGUUGGGAUCAGGUUAUAAAUAGGAAACUUUGUAACCUAGUUUAGGAAGCUAACCAGCACUUAGAAAUAUGUAACCAUUAGGGUUAGCCGUGUAGGUGAACCUCCCGGUUUGUGGGAAGGUCACUGAUUUGUCCUUCUCGAAACCUGUAGGUUAGAGAAGUGAUUUCUCCUCACUCGAAACCUGUAGGUAAGAGUUGAGUAUUGUAAGCUUGAUUGAAGCUGUGAAGCAGAUCAAUUAUGUGUUCAUUGUUAAUUGUGUAAAUAGUUGUUGCAGGGUUGUAACAGUUAGGUAUCACCAGGGAGUGAGCAGAGGUUUUCUUAUCUUGGAUGGAGUUCUGAGAUAGAGAUUGCAUGGGGUAGUGACUAGGUAAACCAGGGGUUGUUUAUCUGUAAA